rnacentral:misc_RNA from 1 species
UCCGGUUUGUCACCGGCGGUCUCCUUAGAGUUCCCACCAUUACGUGCUGGCAACUAAGGACAAGGGUUGCGCUCGUUGCGGGACUUAACCCAACAUCUCACGACACGAGCUGACGACAGCCGUGCAGCACCUGUGUUCUGGUUCCCGAAGGCACCCCUCGAUCUCUAAAGGGUUCCGUGGAUGUCAAGGCCAGGUAAGGUUCUUCGCGUUGCAUCGAAUUAAACCACAUGCUCCACCGCUUGUGCGGACCCCCGCCAAUUCCUUUGAGUUUCAAUCUUGCGAUCGUACUUCCCAGGUGGGAUACUUAAUGCUUUCGCUCAGACACACACAGUGUAUCGCGUAUGUCGAGUAUCCAUCGUUUAGGGCGUGGACUAC